rnacentral:rRNA from 1 species
AUACGUAGGGGGCGAGCGUUGUCCGGAAUGAUUGGGCGUAAAGGGCGCGUAGGCGGCGCGGUAAGUCUGGAGUGAAAGUCCUGCUUUCAAGGUGGGAAUUGCUUUGGAUACUGCCGCGCUUGAGUGCAGGAGAGGUUAUCGGAAUUCCCGGUGUAGCGGUGAAAUGCGUAGAGAUCGGGAGGAACACCAGUGGCGAAGGCGGGUAACUGGACUGCAACUGACGCUGAGGCGCGAAAGUGUGGGGAGCAAACAGGAUUAGAUACCCUGGUAGUCCACACUGUAAACGGUGAAUGCUAGGUGUAAGAGGUAUCGACCCCUUUUGUGCCGGAGUCAACACAAUAAGCAUUCCGCCUGGGGAGUACGGCCGCAAGGUUGAAACUCAAAGGAAUUGACGGGG